UGGUGCGAGCCGAACAAGGUGGACGGGCGUGACUGUUAAUCACGACAUGGCUGGUUCGAUUCCAGCCGCAUCAGCCA
rnacentral:tRNA from 1 species